rnacentral:hammerhead_ribozyme from 1 species
AUCCAGUUGAUGAGUCCCAAAUAGGACAAAACGCGCGUCGAACUUUAU